GUUUCCAGAAGAGUUCAUUCUGCGAAAAAGGGUUGCAGAUUUUUUGGGUGAUUUGAAAUCAGGAGACUUGGAUCCUAUUCCUCUGCCAGAGAAAGAAUUAUAUUUGAAUGAGGGCAAUUUAACAAAAUCUACUUCAACCAGGAGGCAGGACAUUGUCACUGAUACUGAGGUGAGCACUUUAACACACCAAUAAUGUUACUUGUCUCAGGAUGCUAUAAAGACUUAGUGAACCAAAGUAAUAAAAGCAUUGUAGACCUCUUACAUUGUAUAUGCAACAUUCUGUUGCCUCAAAAAAGUUAAUUUCAUUGAUUUCUCUUA